AAAAAGGGCGCUCGUCUUGCGCGUCCAUUCACAACAGGGUUCAAACCCUGCGUGCAGACGCACUGCGGUGUCUACGUUCAACUUCAAGUAAAUUAUGAAAUGGGUCUGCUUUUUGGCGACUUGCUUCGAUUUUACGCGAACGUUGUGGACACUACAGUGGGGUAUGGCCUUACAUAUCCAGUGUAUAAUUUUUGUCAUAUGAGAUUCGAGCUGUCGGUGCAUUGCUUUUAUUUGC